UACGAAGGGGGCUAGCGUUGUUCGGAAUCACUGGGCGUAAAGGGCGCGUAGACGGCUGUUCAAGUCGGGGGUGAAAGCCUGUGGCUCAACCACAGAAUGGCCUUCGAUACUGGACGGCUCGAGACCGGAAGAGGUCAGUGGAACUGCGAGUGUAGAGGUGAAAUUCGUAGAUAUUCGCAAGAACACCAGUGGCGAAGGCGGCUGACUGGUCCGGUUCUGACGCUGAGGCGCGAAAGCGUGGGGAGCAAACAGG
rnacentral:rRNA from 1 species